rnacentral:tmRNA from 1 species
GGGGGUGUACUGGUUUCGACGGGGGUAUGGAAGGCAGAAUAAGCGAGCGGCGGCCCUGAACCGCCCAACAACGGGAAAUUAAAAUUAACUGACAACUACGAUAACGUAGCUUUCGCGGCCUAAGCCCGCGAACGUCGGCCCUAAGCCUCCUGCGGCGUAGGUCACCGGCGCUGCAAAAGCAGGGAACCAACCGGUCAAAGCUUUGAGAUCGGCGGGAUUUUAUGAAGCUACCAAUGCCGUAACGCCGUCCAUGGCGGUUCGGCGGAGGGAAUUUUAAAACGUGGACUGCGCUCGGAGAAGCUUCUGUCGUCUGACUUUCGGACUGGGGUUCGACUCCCCACACCUCCAC